ensembl:lncRNA
UUUACCAUAGACUGUAUAUAAUGGUAUUUACGCAGCUAAUCAACGUCAGGUGUCCUGAUGUGCAGCCACCGUUGUUCUCAUAGAUAUGAAUGAGUAGAUAGGACAAGCCCCUUUGAGCUGCAUGCUACUGCGAGGCUAAGCUAGUGGGGGCAAAGUUUCAGUGCAUUCUGUUGAUGUAGACGGCGUGAAAACGGAAACAACAAGUAUGCCGGCUCACUGUGCUGCAUACAAUUACACACUGCGUCGUACGAUUGAGACAAGGAAACUUGGAAUGACUUUUCAUAGGUUUCCCAGAGACUAUGGGUUGAGGAGGAAUUGGAAGUUUGUCGGCUUAGACCUGGUGUCAUUCCAUCAGUGUUUAACUUCCCGGCUCAUCUUUGAAGAGUAUGUGCCAGAAAGACCACGACCAAGCAGCCUUGAGAUCUUAGACAGCGUCUCCCUCAGUCAAAGGUCCCUCUCUAUCUCCCUACACAUCCACCAACCACUGGAACACAUCUCCAAAGUUCUGCCGGGCCAGCUCAGCUUCCCCUCAGAAGAAAUUCUGCCAGAUGAAGGAGCCUUUUGAGAGGCAGCUGGCAUCGUGAUUGGACUGUACUUUGGUCUGUUCCAAUCCAGCUUCAGCUCCAGAGACGGCAGGCGGGACGAGUCAACGGAGGCCGGGUGGACGAAGGCAUGCAGCUGAGUACAAUCCAGAAAACAACAGAGGAGGAGUGCAGCGACCCAGGGCCAGAACAAACAGAGUAACAUAACCAAAGAACUACAGACUCUUCACAACCUACUCAAACUCUUGGUACAGAACCUCACCACACGGGUCAAGAAGGUUUCCAUCUCAUUUCUACUCUGAAGUUCACCUUCUCCUGCUCAAACUGCUGACAAAUGUUUCUGCUGCUCUAAAGUCUGGUCUCCAGAACUUCCUAAAAACUCUCAAAGUCUCUUCUGCUGCAGGUUGCUUUGUAGAACUGUUCCAGAAAACCUCACUAAACCACAUGGAGGAGCCUCAAGAUAGUCGUCCAAAUGAAACCAUACAAAAACCAAACUAGCACAACCCAAACGCUAAAGUCUCCUGCAGCCUACCAGAGAACCUCUGAGAACAGAGAAUCAGGACAGGAACUCUUACCUUCUGGACAACCAGCGUUGGUUCUCAAACAAGAAUACAGAAUGUGUCAGACCAAAAACCUCUAAAGACUCACUACAGCCAAGAUAAAGACACAACUCAGCUGCAGCAAAUCCACUAAUCACUGCACACAUUAGCACCAUGUGCUAACUGUGGCUAAAGAACCACAUUUACCAAGACAACUAUCUGGUACAAAGCCCUAAAACACACCAAGAAACACAUUAAAGAUGAUUUUACUGCUGGAAGCUGCAAGCCAACGCCUAAAGAACAAACUACAGCAACAGAGUCCAAACCCGGUUCAGUGGUGAAGAGAAGCAGAGG